AGUCUGUGGAUGAGAGCCCCCAGUGUUUCUUUGCUUGGGUAGCCCAAUGAGGACGCAUCAAGCACCAGACUAAGAAGCCUGCCAAGCUCCAAUCAUGGCGCCAGCUGUCUCCUGCUGAGGUAGAAGAUGAAGACCUGUUGGUUUAAGAGGAGAAACAAAGCAAUGGUGUUCUUUCUCGAGUAGUAAAGGAAACCAGCCGUUCCAGCCCCGACAUAGAUUUGUUCCGUGUCAUUGCUGUCCUGACACCCGUUUUUAGGCCUGGCACAGUUACCUGAAAUCCAGUCGUAUCUGUCACCUUCGGCCUGGUUAAAACGUCCUCUCCCUGGUGGUGGUUUGGGUUGGAGUCCAUUUGUUUCUCAUCCCACAAACUCAAACCCAGCACAGCUGCUGACCGUGAUGAAUCUACCAGCCCAAACCAGAGCUUGGUAAGUGACAGCCCGGCUUCUCAGGUGUUUCCUUUCAGGCAGCCACGCCUCCACCCCUGGUGACAGCGAAUGGAGUGACGCCCCUGGACCUCCGUAAAGGCGUGGCCCCACACACCCUUCCCCGCACUCUGCACCGCCUCGCUGGCCUGUGUCGUCUCCCGGCAGCCUCUCUGGAACAGGAAGUCUCAGCCCACACAGACCUUCUUCCACGGCUGGUUCCCCAUGCAGCCCUGACCUUGAAACUCCUUCAUUCAACAAAUGACUUCAUUUUAGACUUUUCGAUUGCGCCAACAGAGGAGAAGCAUGGCGGCCUGAGCGGGGAUGACCCAGGCUGAAGAGAACAAGUCUUCGGUUCAGUACAGGAGACUUCUCCUCCCAG